GCCGGUGAUUAUAAAUUGAUUAGUACUUGAGCAAUAAGGAAACUUUUACAAAUAUGUCAAUUGAUAAUUAAAUAUAGCCGACAGGGUAAUCAUUAAUAGGAAGUGAAACGGAAGACACUAGCACAGCAAAGAUCAUCAGGGUUAUGUGACAUCAAGCUGAAGAAUACAGAAAGAAAAGGGCUAUAUAUGCCAAAGACAAAGAAAUCAUUAGGUCUGACCAACGGUCUAAGGUUCAUGGCGGCUCGUGCGUCCUGUCCAGUUUCCAGUGCAUCUACAAACUGCUUGGAGAUGGCCUCUCCGAAUCCAACAUUGUCGCUGCAGCCUCCCCAUAGCCAUCCCUGACCACCUGAGAUGACAAGAAUUGUUG